GAUGAAGAACGUAGUGAAAUGCGAUAAGUAAUGUGAAUUGCAGAAUUCAGUGAAUCAUCGAAUCUUUGAACGCACAUUGCGCCCGGCAGUACUCUGCCGGGCAUGCCUGUUCGAGCGUCAUUUCAACCCUCAAGCCCUGCUUGGUGUUGGGGCCCCACGGCUGCCGUGGGCCCUGAAAGGAAGUGGCGGGCUCGCUACAACUCCGAGCGUAGUAAUUCAUUAUCUCGCUUAGGGCGUUGGGCGGCGCUCCAGCCGUUAAAGAACCAUCUUUAACUCAAGGUUGACCUCGGAUCAGGUAGGAAUACCCGCUGAACUUAAGCAUACAAUAAGCGGAGGA
rnacentral:misc_RNA from 1 species